GAUGAACGCUAGCGGCAGGCUUAACACAUGCAAGUCGAGGGGCAUCAUGGCGUAGCAAUACGCUGAUGGCGACCGGCGCACGGGUGCGUAACGCGUAUGGAACCUACCCACCGCAGGGGGAUAACCCGCCGAAAGGCGGACUAAUACCCCAUGGUUCCCCGACCCUGCCUGGGGUUGGGGGUAAAGCCUACGGGCGGCGGUGGAUGGCCCUGCGUGCCAUUAGCUGGCUGGUGGGGUAACGGCCCACCAGGGCGACGAUGGCUAGGGGGUCUGAGAGGACGAUCCCCCACACUGGUACUGAGACACGGACCAGACUCCUACGGGAGGCAGCAGUGAGGAAUAUUGGGCAAUGGGCGAAAGCCUGACCCAGCGACGCCGCGUGAGGGAAGACGGCCUUCGGGUUGUAAACCUACAGUUAUACGGGACGAAGUAAUAGACGGUACCGUAACGAGAAAGACCACGGCUAACUACGUAGCCAGCAGCCGCGGUAAACCAUACUCGUA
rnacentral:rRNA from 1 species